rnacentral:snRNA from 1 species
GACUGUGAGGGCAGUCUGGAUCUGACAUUUGUCACCCCAUUGUCUCCAGGGUUGAUUUGGCUCAUGUGGCUGACUAGGCAGGUGUCUCCUUCCUUCCUCACUGUUUCAAGGACUUCCCUCCCAAAGCUACUCACUCAGUACAAUAAAUAGUUCCAAACUGUUCCCUGAGAGCCACACCAACAAGCUUCUCUACCAGAAACAUAUACACUUGUCUUUCUAGAGCUUCUAAAAACUAUUGGGAUAGGCAUCUUAAGCAUCUGAUUUUAAGAAUUUCAUUUUAUUUGAGCCAGGCACAGUGGUGCACACCUGUAAUCCAGAACUC